GACUUAAGAGAUAAGGCGGGUCGAGGAGGAGGGGGUGGGUGGUGCAGAUGUACAGAAGGAUCGGAUGGUUAGGAUGCGAAGUUGGCAAAACAUGGGGAGGCAGAGCCGCGGGAGUGAGAUGUGGAUACUAACACUGUCUCCAGCGAUAUCCUCCAAAUUCCAUCCUCUACAUUCUUCAUUUACAGAAUUCUCUACAAGAUUUUCUCCUCUAUAUCUCAUUUCUCUCCAACAACGUUCUCUAAAUCUCGUUCUCUGUACAUUAAACCCUAUAUUAGAAACGUAUUUUGUUCUAAAUUUUUGUACGUACGUAUUUAUCAUACCUCAAACGUUAUGGACAUAUUUUAUUUUUAUUUAAUUCAGUGUUUGAAACGUAAAGAAAA
rnacentral:lncRNA from 1 species